AUUGAACGCUGGCGGCAGGCUUAACACAUGCAAGUCGAGCGGGGGAAGGUAGCUUGCUACUGGACCUAGCGGCGGACGGGUGAGUAAUGCUUAGGAAUCUGCCUAUUAGUGGGGGACAACAUCUCGAAAGGGAUGCUAAUACCGCAUACGUCCUACGGGAGAAAGCAGGGGAUCUUCGGACCUUGCGCUAAUAGAUGAGCCUAAGUAGGAUUAGCUAGUUGGUGGGGUAAAGGCCUACCAAGGGGACGAUCUGUAGCGGGUCUGAGAGGAUGAUCCGCCACACUGGGACUGAGACACGGCCCAGACUCCUACGGGAGGCAGCAGUGGGGAAUAUUGGACAAUGGGGGGAACCCUGAUCCAGCCAUGCCGCGUGUGUGAAGAAGGCCUUAUGGUUGUAAAGCACUUUAAGCGAGGAGGAGGCUACUCUAGUUAAUACCUAGGGAUAGUGGACGUUACUCGCAGAAUAAGCACCGGCUAACUCUGUGCCAGCCGCCGCCGUAAAAC
rnacentral:rRNA from 1 species